GUCUACUUCUGAAUUCAUUAGCUACCUGUCCCAUUUGGUUUCCUAAAUUCUUCAAUGUUGCUACUUGGCUUUGAAUUAGUGCAUCCUUCUUUGUUAUGUACGCCUUCAGCAAAUUCUCAAGAUUACUUGAAGAUUCAGUUCGUGGGGGUUGUUGCACUUGUUGAGAAUAUCCUGGUGGAUAAUUUGGUAGAUAUGGCAUAGAAGAGCCGCUAUGGUCCACCCAUUGAUUACUUUAUGGAGAAAUUGGAUGAUUCUACCAUGAAAAGUUGUAAGAAUUUGAUUGCGC
rnacentral:lncRNA from 1 species